GGCGCCGGAAGUCGCGUCUCCGAGCCGCGCGGUCGCGUCGGUUGUGCCUCUCCUUCCAGGGUUGGGGGCCGCGGGCCGCUUGGAGGUGUCUCAGCCGAGAGUCACGCCUGGGAGUCCGGCGCCGGCGUCUCCUCGAACGUGCGUGGUUCGGCCGGGGCGUGGGGACAGCCUCCUGAGGCUGAAGGGACCGGCGAGGCCGCCUCGGACGACGUCGAGCCUCGGACUACAGGUCCCAGCAUGCCGCGCUGCCUCCCACAAUGCACUUCUCCGGGCCCCGCCGCUGGGGUGUCUGGGAGCCAAUUGGACGCCUUCGGGAGGGCCGGCUGUAGGCCGUGCGGUGUCCGCUGCCGCUGCGGCUGUGUGCUGGGGUCCGGGGAAGUGUGGCAGCCCCGGGACGGCCGUCCCAGGCCUGAGAGGCCGGCUGAGGUUAGACACCCUGGACCGUGAGUCGGCAGGCUGGAGCGCAGUGCUGGUUCCCAGACGGCCGGCCAUCUAGGUGGUCCUGGAGGGCUGGACAGGGACCCGCUGGGCUUGCGGUUGCAGCUCAUGGCCGCUCAGCGCUGCGGGUUGGUGAGGAUGCCGACUUCAGGAUCUGCUCGAGGAAACUGCCCUUCCUCGGGAAGGAGGGCAGGCAGCCACCCUGGCGCUUGUUGUCCGGCUGCCUCUCCAGGCCUGCUUCGCUGCAGCUGGACCCUUCACAGAGGGCCGCGCGGGGGCAGGUGGGGAGGACCCAAUCCUCGGACAGCUCUCUGCUACCACCUGAAGCUCAGAUUUCGCGCCCUCAGGCCGUCUUUGCUCAGACCCCGCAUACGCAGGGUGGUCAGAUCAGAUCCCCACAGGCCCUCCCGCUGAUGAGACACUGAGCCUGAUCCAAGAACGCCCGCCGACCUUGCUCCAGAGCCUCCAGUGUGAGGCUGUGACAGCUGCGGCUCCUCCCUCUGAGGCCCCCAUGGGGCCUGCAUGAGGAGCAGCUGCUAGUGGUGAUGUGACCUGGGCUACCUCGAACCCACCAGGCCCCAGCCCCUUGGUUUGGGGGCCUAGGGUCCUCAUCUCUUCUGAAGUUCUGGAACCACAGCAUCAUCUGACAUCUACCCCCUGCAAAGCUUACUUCAUGACAGUUUACCCUGAAGCACUGACUCUUAACAGGAGAUGUUUUAUGGCAGGCUGGAUGCUGCACCGUAGCUGGAGGGAGUCAGGAAUGGCCCAGGAGCUGCCUCAUGUGGGUGUCCUAAAGGAUUAGGGGACAGAUUUGGCUACCCUGGGGUGUUGCGCAACUGGUCUGCUCCAGGUAACACAAGGGUGGUUAGCAGAUGAGCUGGGACCAGCCCAAGAACUGGAAUCCCAGUGGGGGCCUCUGCUGGGCCUCUUAACCCUGGCUUGCAAGCUCUGGAGAGCAGGCAGCUUCCUGUGGGCACAUCGGUGUCCAGGGCUGGGCUUAUGCCCAGAGAAGCAGCAGGAGACAGUUGGUUUGGGGCAGGGAGCAGCCCACAACCGUAGGGACGAGUUUGUGACCAGCACUGAGAUGGCUGAAGGCAGCUAGCUCUCCUGUCGGCCUGCCUGGCACAGCUCCUCCUGGGCCACACUUACCCGUGAGCCCUUCAGGGUCCCAUUCCCCACCCCCUGGGUGUGAAGAUGGCCAACUGGCCAGUUAGCAGCACUCUCCUCUCCUUCCUGGGCUCACCCCUGCACCCCUGCCUUGUGCAGAGUAGAGCAUCUGGCUGGUGGGUAGAAGGAGGAGUUGGAAGCAGCCUGGACUGGGGAUAUGACCAGUUAACCCCAGUCUCCAGGCCCUGAGAUGGGCAGUUACUUAGUCUGACCUCAGUCCUCAAUGAGAUGGGAACACCAGCUCCAUGUUAUCCCAGUGUUUGACGGGCACAAAUGAGAUAGCGGGAGGCCCCGUGGAGCUGAAAGAACUGACCUUGGGCCCCUCAGGUGAGGAAGCCUUGCUGGACUCGCAGCAGAACAACAGUGGGAAAAACACCUCGAGGCGGGCAGUUCGACGUGUUCUCUGUCGCUGGUGCAUCUGCGUUGCAGGGCACUGUCAGGCACGUGCCCCACCAGAGGCAGCCAGGGAAUCUGCCCGUGUCCUGGGCCUGUGGGCGGCGGGGCGCCUGUCCCUCUGGGCGGGGCCUUCCGUCUGGGACUCUCCUCCUGAGGGGACGGGACAGGUGAGAGGUCCCCCACCUGAGCAAGGCCUGGGCCCACGGGACCAGCCUCCACCACGUCUACUGCAGCAGGGCCAGGAGUCACCUAAGAAGGAUCACCGGAGGCUGUGCCCCGCUGGGUGGCUUUCCAGGCUGCGCUCCAGGCCCCUGUCUGCAACUACAAACCCUGUGGUGCAAGGGCCCGGGCUGGGCUGAGGCUUGUGAGAAACCACCCUGGGCCCGGGCUAGGGGGCCGGUUGUCGGGGGUCAUGGCCCUAGGCUGUGGGGAGCAGUCGUGAGCACCGGGGACGUGGACUGCUCCCCUGUGGGGUGGUGGUAGCUGGCGGGGGGAGGGGUUCUGGAAGCUCGGGUCUCUCCCCUGCCCGUCUGGAGGGUCCAGCUGAGCAGCCGUCCCAGGAGGGCCAGAACAAAGGCACCCGUGUCAGCCCCGUGGCCCCGUCAGUUCACAGAAGUGAGGAGGGUCCGCCCCGAGAGCAGGAGGGUCAGGCUCGUUUCACAGCGACGAGACGUGGAGUCUGUGUGGUCCUCACGCACCUCAGCGGUAGGUGUCACUGUCCCGUCUUACGACGAGGAACCUGGACUUAAAUGGGAAGAGGCAGCAGCCCAGGACCCCACACAGCUAUAGACGGACAGAGGCCAGGCAGUCCCAGGUCACUCUGCUCACGAGAGGAAUGGAUGCUUGCAGGGUGGUGUUUUAGAUCAACCUUGGGGUUUUUUAACCUUGUUACAAAUAAUAGAUGUUCUUACUGGAAUUUCUGCCUGUUGCUCCGCAAUGGUAAUGUGUCCUUACAUUUUAUUACUAACACAAUACAGAUAAUUUCUUCUGUUGACUUCCAUCCCCCGGGACGACCGUUUUUCCAAGUGGGAUGUUUUCUGCAGUGUGGGCGAGCCGUCACAUUCACUUCAGGUCGUGGAGUCUGUGCCUCGCCGCUUGCUCAUGCGUUUUUGAACAAGGGAGGUUUAUCCAGGCCUGGCCGGUGGGCGGCUGUCCUCUCAGCACACUGCCCAUGCCCCUCAAUUGCCCUGCCUUGGCCUUCAUCCUUCCAGGGUCUGGUCAGGGAUUAUUUAGAAAGUGGGAAAAAAAGAAACCUUAACAGCUGGCAUCUGAUUGCCCUUGGUGAAAUGACAGCCUGUGUCAGGGAAUACGCCCACCAGGUGGGUUAGGGAGGGUGCCCCCGGGUAAGGUGGCUCCAGGUGGCUUGGUCUGGCCAUGGAGGGCUGAUGGGCGGCUGGGGGGCAAUGGCUGAGGAAGGGAGGGUGGCCUCCCGAUGCGUGGAGGACGGGGAUGCCUCCAUCAGUUUGAGCGUCUCUGUAGGGGCAGGUCAUGACCCCAGGUCUGGGGCGAGUCCCACUUCUUUCCCUGCGCACUGUCCCAUCGUGGGGUCAUUUGCUGAUGCUAAGAGUGCUCUUUGUCUGCUGUUCCAGUCCGUGACCCCUCUUCUUCGUGACCAUUCUUCCUAGUUUUCGUUUUUUAAGAAUUGUCCCUUUAAAAACUUCCAGAUCUUUGAGAGGUUCUUUGGCCCAAGUCCCGGUCAUUUCACAAGUGCCUGUUCCUGGUUUCUCAACGCCCCCGCCUCCAUGCGCGUGGCUGAGAUGUCAGCACUACGCUUGUAAAGGCCUCCUCUGCUUGCUGUUAGCUCGGUUUCCUUGGGGAUCAGUCUGCAGGUCCGGUGCUCAUGGCCACCCCCCUGGCUCCACUCUCCCGCCUGACUGCUCCCUUCUCUGCCCCCAGAAUUCUGUCUCCUAGCACCGUGCCCCCAGCCCCUAUGGCGGUCAUUACUGCUGCUGGUGGAAACCCCCCACCUCCACGCGCCUGGUGGGAGUGGCCGUGUGGGCCAGUGUGAAUGCUGUGGGCAGACGUGGCACAUGGCCCCAGUAUGUCCGAUUGCCGGCCUGGGCCCCCCACACCCCCUUAUCUCUGCCGAGAUGCUACUGUCCAUCAGCUGGGGCCCCUGAGGAACCAGUGAUGGGAAGCCCACCCCCCGACCUGGCCUGGACAAGUGCCACAAGUGAGAAAUAAACCUUCGCUGUUUAAAA